rnacentral:rRNA from 1 species
UACAUGUGGGGCAAGCGUUGUUCGGAAUUACUGGGCAUAAAGGGUGCGUAGGCGGCUUGUUAAGUCACUGGUGAAAGUUUUCGGCCCAACCGGAAAAUUGCCUGUGAUACUGGCGAGCUUGAGUGCGUGAGGGAUGGGGGGAACGGUCAGUGUAGCGGUAAAAUGUGUUGAUAUUGGAAGGAACACCGGAGGCGAAAGCGGUGCACUGGGGUUGGUCUGACGCUGAGGCACGAAAGCCAGGGGAGCGAACGGG